rnacentral:lncRNA from 1 species
UUGGCAUAUCAGAACUACUAGCCGAUGGUUACUCGGACAUUCCACUGACAUAUCAAUAUUAUCGACAUAUAGUCGGCCAAGCUGUUCAACAUACUGUAACCGCUAUGAACGAUUAUCGACUACAUGUCACGGUAAUUAGUGAGGAUUAACGACCCACUAACUCCACAAUUAUGGUCUGAUAAUUUAGCGUCAUAAAAAGUGAG